UCCAGUGAGACCUACAAGAUUUAUCUUGCCUGAUUUAAAUCCAGAAGAAGGAACAUAAAGGUGUGUCAAGAUGGCUUAUAGGCAGACACAGGAUGUGUUAAAAAGCCCUAGAAGACUGGAUGCAUUGGUUCCCAAAGACCAGUAGAGCCCCACAUUCCCCAUCGGUAAAGCAGGAGCCCCUGGUCCACCCCACGUGGCUGCGAGGACCAAAGGAGACAAUGUCUGUACUUUCCGUAACGGUGCACUCAGGAUCGCGUCUGCCCACCACGGUCCUCACACCUCUUUCACUUCAAGAUGCACUGUUCCUCGCU